GAUGUUGGCUCGAUUUCACUCAGAGAAGAAGACUGCUUACUGCUUACUGCUGCAUCUGCAUGUACGUAGGAACAUAUGUUAUGGUUGGUCUCAUGAAUCUGAUUGAGCCGCGCCAAUAUC
rnacentral:pre_miRNA from 1 species